CUUUAAGUAAGCUAUAUAAGCUGUUGGGCUCAUAACCCAAAAAAGAUAAAAUCCUUAAAGA
rnacentral:tRNA from 1 species